AGACAUAAGUGUGUGGCAGAAAGUGAGAAAGAAUUGCAAUUUCUCAGCUCUUUGGCAGUUACCUACAAGGUGCAGACGAGACAUGCGAGAGCCACUUUAUCCUACCUGGAACAUUGACUCCAAGACGCUUCCAUUUGCUUUUCAAUGGAGCUGAUUGCCAAAGACUUUUCUAAUGUGUCCCUGGAGAACCACCGAGCGAUACAGACAAUUCCAGCAUCUCACUUGUACCUCAGGAAGCAAAAAAGAGCUACAUUUAAGAUGGAAAAGAUAUUAAAACCUAGAAAGCUCUUCCACUGA
rnacentral:lncRNA from 1 species